rnacentral:ncRNA from 2 species
CCGCGCCCCGCAGGAGAGAGGGGCGCCAUGCGCUCCCGCCGAAGGCGCAAACUCCCAUAAUCGCUCAGGCAGCAGUCACUGCGGAUUUCCA